GUAAGCGGUUGAAGGUGUGUGGUAACGCAUGCUGGACGUAUCAGAAGUGCGAAUGCUGACAUGAGUAACGAUAAAGGGGGUGAAAAACCUCCUCGCCGGAAGACCAAGGGUUCCUGUCCAACGUUAAUCGGGGCAGGGUAAGUCGACCCCUAAGGCGAGGCCGAAAGGCGUAGUCGAUGGGAAACGGGUUAAUAUUCCCGUACUUCUUACAAUUGCGAUGGGGGGACGGAGAAGGCUAGGUGGGCCUGGCGACGGUUGUCCAGGUUCAAGUGCGUAGGCUUAAGAGUUAGGUAAAUCCGGCUCUUUUUAAGGCUGAGACACGACGUCGAGCACCUACGGGUGUGAAGUCAUUGAUGCCAUGCUUCCAGGAAAAGCCUCUAAGCUUCAGAUUGUAAGGAAUCGUACCCCAAACCGACACAGGUGGUCGGGUAGAGAAUACCAAGGCGCUUGAGAGAACUCGGGUGAAGGAACUAGGCAAAAUGGUACCGUAACUUCGGGAGAAGGUACGCUCUUGAUGGUGAAGUCCCUUGCGGAUGGAGCUGACGAGAGUCGCAGAUACCAGGUGGCUGCAACUGUUUAUUAAAAACACAGCACUGUGCAAAAUCGUAAGAUGACGUAUACGGUGUGACGCCUGCCCGGUGCCGGAAGGUUAAUUGAUGGGGUUAGACUUCGGUCGAAGCUCUUGAUCGAAGCCCCGGUAAACGGCGGCCGUAACUAUAACGGUCCUAAGGUAGCGAAAUUCCUUGUCGGGUAAGUUCCGACCUGCACGAAUGGCGUAAUGAUGGCCACGCUGUCUCCACCCGAGACUCAGUGAAAUUGAAAUCGCUGUGAAGAUGCAGUGUACCCGCGGCUAGACGGAAAGACCCCGUGAACCUUUACUACAGCUUGGCACUGAACAUUGACCCUACAUGUGUAGGAUAGGUGGGAGGCUUUGAAGCACGUACGCCAGUAUGUGUGGAGCCGUCCUUGAAAUACCACCCUUGUAGUGUUGAUGUUCUAACGUCGACCCCUAAUCGGGGUUACGGACAGUGCCUGGUGGGUAGUUUGACUGGGGCGGUCUCCUCCCAAAGAGUAACGGAGGAGCACGAAGGUGGGCUAAUCACGGUUGGACAUCGUGAGGUUAGUGCAAUGGCAUAAGCCCGCUUGACUGCGAGAAUGACAAUUCGAGCAGGUGCGAAAGCAGGUCAUAGUGAUCCGGUGGUUCUGAAUGGAAGGGCCAUCGCUCAACGGAUAAAAGGUACUCCGGGGAUAACAGGCUGAUACCGCCCAAGAGUUCAUAUCGACGGCGGUGUUUGGCACCUCGAUGUCGGCUCAUCACAUCCUGGGGCUGAAGUCGGUCCCAAGGGUAUGGCUGUUCGCCAUUUAAAGUGGUACGCGAGCUGGGUUUAGAACGUCGUGAGACAGUUCGGUCCCUAUCUGCCGUGGGCGUUGGAAGAUUGAAGGGGGCUGCUCCUAGUACGAGAGGACCGGAGUGGACGAACCUCUGGUGUUCGGGUUGUGUCGCCAGACGCAUUGCCCGGUAGCUAAGUUCGGAAUCGAUAACCGCUGAAAGCAUCUAAGCGGGAAGCGAGCCCUGAGAUGAGUCUUCCCUGAUACUUUAAGUAUCCUAAAGGGUUGUCGGAGACUACGACGUUGAUAGGUCAGGUGUGUAAGUGCUGUGAGGCAUUGAGCUAACUGAUACUAAUUGCCCGUGAGGCUUAACCAUACAACACCCA
rnacentral:rRNA from 1 species